rnacentral:rRNA from 1 species
GAUGAACGCUGGCGGCGUGCCUAAUACAUGCAAGUCGAGCGAAUGGAUUAAGAGCUCGCUCUUAUGAAGUUAGCGGCGGACGGGUGAGUAACACGUGGGUAACCUGCCCAUAAGACUGGGAUAACUCCAGGAAACCGAGGCUAAUACCGGAUAACAUUUUGAACCGCAUGGUUCGAAAUUGAAAGGCGGCUUCGGCUGUCACUUAUGGAUGGACCCGCGUCGCAUUAGCUAGUUGGUGAGGUAACGGCUCACCAAGGCAACGAUGCGUAGCCGACCUGAGAGGGUGAUCGGCCACACUGGGACUGAGACACGGCCCAGACUCCUACGGGAGGCAGCAGUAGGGAAUCUUCCGCAAUGGACGAAAGUCUGACGGAGCAACGCCGCGUGAGUGAUGAAGGCUUUCGGGUCGUAAAACUCUGUUGUUAGGGAAGAACAAGUGCUAGUUGAAUAAGCUGGCACCUUGACGGUACCUAACCAGAAAGCCACGGCUAACUACGUGCCAGCCGCCGCGGUAA